AAAAAAAGAACAUUAAGAGUUACUCAUUUUUUGUUAUUAAAGUGAACCAUUGUAAUAUUCAUAUAAUCAUAAAUAAAUAUUCAUGGAUUUAUUUAUAAUAAAAAUAAGAAAAUUUAGUAACAUUAUAAUAUUUUAGAUUUUGUUAUUUCCUGAAUUUGGUUUACUUCUAUCACUCACUUGUGAGCAUUUUAUUGAACAAUAUUGUGUUAAUAUGAAAAUUCUUUAGUAAUACAGGUACAAGGAAAAUGUAUAAUACAUAAUUUGUAAAGAGUAAUUUACAGACACAAGGAAGUAGCUUUUACCAGUAAGCCUUUUUUUAAGGAAGACUUUAAAAUUAUAUAUUUCCAUCGAUUGGUCCAGGCCAGAGUCAUCUUUAACAAUUUAAUUUGAACAGAAUAAAGGAACCCUAGAAACGAAGCAGGACUAGGUAGACUAGACAUUGACAUUUAUCAAGUUCAUCUCAGGAGAAAAUGGUUGUAACAACUCAACUAGAAUGAGAAUAGACUUAUUGGAUGAGAAACCUGUAGUUUACCGACCAUAUAGAUUAUC